rnacentral:misc_RNA from 1 species
AAUUCUCAACCUCACCAGUUUUGUUAUGAGACUGUGUAAGGCUUGGAUGUGGGGGUUUGUGCAGGCUGCCUCAGCGCGGUCUGCUCCCCUGAAAAGCAUUAGCGAGUUCCAAACUGGGCUCUGUCUAUUGGUGUGAUAAUUAUCUACGCCGUGGAUUGAGCUUAGACUUGCUUCUAACCGUCCGCAAGGACAAUACUUUGACA